AAGGGCAUAGCUUAACGGCAAAGCAGGUGUCUUCAACACACCCUAUAGUAGUUCAAGUCUACUUGCCCUUG